rnacentral:rRNA from 1 species
UACGUAGGGGGCAAGCGUUGUCCGGAAUCAUUGGGCGUAAAGAGCGUGUAGGCGGCUCGAUAAGUCUGCUGUGAAAGUCCAGGGCUCAACCCUGGAAGGCCGGUGGAAACUGUCGGGCUAGAGUCCGGAAGAGGCGAGUGGAAUUCCCGGUGUAGCGGUGAAAUGCGCAGAUAUCGGGAGGAACACCGGUGGCGAAGGCGGUUCUCUGGGCCUGUACUGACGCUGAGGAGCGAAAGCGUGGGGAGCGAACAGG